GACACGAAAGAGGACGUCAGCGACAGCGGAACGGAACUUGCGAUCGUGGAUUUAUCCGUGGUGCAAGACUUUUUUGGACUUAUGCCGUGUCCCGACCCCGCCAAGGAGUACGGGCUCUGUGCCAAGCUUGUGCUGGAGUGCUCCACGUGUGGCAUGCGCGAAAGGAU
rnacentral:lncRNA from 1 species